AUCUAGCUGAUGAACCCCAAAUAGGAAGAAACGCGAGUCCUGGAU
rfam:Schistosoma haematobium scaffold1338_2, whole genome shotgun sequence.